CCUACGGGAGGCAGCAGUGGGGAAUAUUGCACAAUGGGGGAAACCCUGAUGCAGCGACGCCGCGUGAGUGAAGAAGUAUUUAGGUAUGUAAAGCUCUGUCAGCAGGGAAGAAAAUGACGGUACCUGACCAAGAAGCCCCGGCUAACUACGAACCAGCAGCCGCGGUAAUAGGGAGGGGGCAAGCGUUAUCCGGAUUGACUGGGGGUAAAGGGGGCGUAGACGGCAGGGCAAGUCUGGAGGGAAAGGCGGGGGCUCAACCCCCGGACUGCUCUGGAAACUGCCAGGCUGGAGUGCAGGAGAGGUAAGUGGAAUGCCUAGUGUAGCGGUGAAAUGCGUAGAUAUUAGGAGGAACACCAGUGGCGAAGGCGGCUUACUGGACUGUAACUGACGUUGAGGCUCGAAAGCGUGGGGAGCAAACAGGAUUAGAUACCCGAGUAGUC
rnacentral:rRNA from 1 species